rfam:Acinetobacter haemolyticus CIP 64.3 genomic scaffold acLrj-supercont1.11, whole genome shotgun sequence.
CAUCGCUUCAGGGCGGGGUGAAAUUCCCCACCGGUGGUAAGUUGGGCAUUAAACAUGAAUGACCUAACCAGCCCACGAGCUGGUAUAUAUGUUUAUAUACUUGCAGAUUUGGUGAGAUGCCAAAGCCGACGGUAUAGUCCGGAUGAAAGAAGACGAAA